UACGAAGGGGGCUAGCGUUGCUCGGAAUUACUGGGCGUAAAGCGCACGUAGGCGGCUUCCUAAGUCGGAGGUGAAAUCCUGGAGCUCAACUCCAGAACUGCCUUCGAUACUGGAGAGCUUGAGUCCGGGAGAGGUGAGUGGAACUGCGAGUGUAGAGGUGAAAUGCGUAGAUAUGCGGAGGAACACCGAUGGCGAAGGCAAUCCCCUGGGCCUGCACUGACGCUCAUGCACGAAAGCGUGGGGAGCAAACAGG
rnacentral:rRNA from 1 species